rnacentral:rRNA from 1 species
AACGCUGGCGGCAUGCCUAACACAUGCAAGUCGAACGGCAGCACAGCAGUAGCAAUACUGUGGGUGGCGAGUGGCGGACGGGUGAGGAAUACAUCGGAAUUUGCCCUGUCGUGGGGGAUAACGUAGGGAAACUUACGCUAAUACCGCAUACGACCUAACGGUGAAAGCGGGGGAUCGCAAGACCUCGCGCGGCUGGAGAAGCCGAUGUCAGAUUAGCUAGUUGGCGGGGUAAUGGCCCACCAAGGCGACGAUCUGUAGCUGGUCUGAGAGGAUGAUCAGCCACACUGGGACUGAGACACGGCCCAGACUCCUACGGGAGGCAGCAGUGGGGAAUAUUGGACAAUGGGCGCAAGCCUGAUCCAGCAAUGCCGCGUGUGUGAAGAAGGCCUUCGGGUUGUAAAGCACUUUUAUCUGGAGCGAAAUCUGCAGGGCUAAUACCCAUGCAGUCUGACGGUACCAGAGGAAUAAGCACCGGCUAACUUCGUGCCAGCAGCCGCGGUAAUACGAAGGGUGCAAGCGUUACUCGGAAUUACUGGGCGUAAAGCGUGAGUAGGUGGUUUCUUAAGUCUGCUGUGAAAGCCCCGGGCUCAACCUGGGAAUUGCAGUGGAUACUGGGGAGCUAGAGUGCGGUAGAGGG